UAUUUAGAGUUUGAUCCUGGCUCAGGACGAACGCUGGCGGUGCGCCUAAUGCAUGCAAGUCGAACGGUCCUACCGAGCUUGCUCGGGACGGAUAGUGGCAGACGGCUGAGUAACACGUAAGUGAUCAACCCCGAAGCGGGGAAUAAUCUCGAGAAAUCGGGCCUAAUACCCCGUACGCUUUAGGGAAAAAGAUAACCCUAAAGGAAAGAUUUAUCGCUUUGGGACGAGCUUGCGGCCUAUCAGGUAGUUGGAAGGGUAACGGCCUACCAAGCCUAUAACGGGUAACCGGUGUGAGAGCACGAUCGGUCAGAGGGGGACUGAGACACGGCCCCCACUCCUACGGGAGGCAGCAGC
rnacentral:rRNA from 1 species